GGAGGGUGCAAGCGUUACUCGGAAUCACUGGGUGUAAAGGGAGCGUAGACGGCAUAGCAAGUCUGAAGUGAAAGCCCGUGGCUCAACCGCGGAACUGCUUUGGAAACUGUUAAGCUGGAGUACUGGAGAGGCAAGCGGAAUUCCUAGUGUAGCGGUGAAAUGCGUAGAUAUUAGGAGGAACACCAGUGGCGAAGGCGGCUUGCUGGACAGAGACUGACGUUGAGGCUCGAAAGCGUGGGGAGCAA
rnacentral:rRNA from 1 species